rnacentral:rRNA from 1 species
UCCUGCACACCGAUAGACCAAGGAUUCCAGGGGAAGGUUCGUCCGCCCUGGGUAAGUCGGGACCUAAGGCGAGGCUGAAAAGCGUAGUCGAUGGAAAACAGGUUGAUAUUCCUGUACCCGCGCAUCGAGUGAUGGAGUGACAAAGAAGGCUAACCGGACCGGUGAAUGGAUUCCGGACCAAGCGAGGUAGGAGGCAGUCAGGCAAAUCCGGCUGUCAAUCUGAAGGCGUGAUGGGGAGUGAACAGCGCGAGCUAAGUAGCGAAGACGGCGAUGCCAGCUUUCAAGAAAAGCUUCUAGCGCUAAUCGAUGAGCGGCCCGUACCAAAACCGACACAGGUGGUCAAGGCGAGAAGCCUAAGGUGAGCGAGAGAACUGUUGCCAAGGAACUCGGCAAAAUAGCCCCGUACGUUCGCAAGAAGGGGCGCUCGAAAGAGCCGCAGUGAAGAGGCCCAAGCAACUGUUUAACUAAAACACAGCUCUCUGCAAAGUCGCAAGACGAAGUAUAGGGGGUGACGCCUGCCCGGUGCUGGAAGGUUAAGAGGAUAUGUUAGCCGCAAGACGAAGCAUUGAAUUGAAGCCCCAGUGAACGGCGGCCGUAACUAUAACGGUCCUAAGGUAGCGAAAUUCCUUGUCAGGUAAGUUCUGACCCGCACGAAAGGCGUAAUGAUUUGGGCGCUGUCUCGGCAGCAGACUCGGUGAAAUCUUAGUACCUGUGAAGAUGCAGGUUACCCGCAACUAGACGGAAAGACCCCAUGGAGCUUUACUGUAGCCUGAUAUUGAGUUUUGAUCAAGUAUGUACAGGAUAGGUGGGAGACGAAGAAGUUGGGACGUCAGUUUCAAUGGAGUCGACGUUGGGAUACCACUCUUAGUUGAUUGAAAUUCUAACCUGUAUCCAUGAGCUGGGUAAGGGACAGUGUCAGGUGGGCAGUUUGACUGGGGCGGUCGCCUCCUAAAGAGUAACGGAGGCGCCCAAAGGUACCCUCAGAUUGGUUGGAAAUCAAUCGACGAGCGCAAAUGCAGAAGGGUGCUUGACUGCAAGACAGACAAGUCGAGCAGGGACGAAAGUCGGGAUUAGUGAUCCGGCGGUGCAGAAUGGAAUGGCCGUCGCUUAACGGAUAAAAGCUACCCUGGGGAUAACAGGCUGAUCUCGCCCAAGAGUUCACAUCGACGGCGAGGUUUGGCACCUCGAUGUCGGCUCAUCGCAUCCUG